CCUCCUACGUGGCACUUUUAUCCUCUUUGCUCAUCCCUCGCUGCCACACUGCAAAGUCUCCGCCGUUACCCUCUUUCAACUCUCCUUCGCCCUUCUCGUCUCUCUCUCUCUCUCUCCGAAUCCUCCCUUUUCCCGUUUCACUUUCUCGGGAAAAUCGAAUCAACAAAUCUUCCGCCUCUCCAAUCACUCCCUUCCGAUCAAUCCACCUCCCCUCUCCCAUAACCAAAUCUCAAAACCCUAGAUUCCGUCGUUUAUCCACUGAUUCGACCGGCGGAUCUGAUUCGGAGCAUGGAGAGGAUCGUCGGCGGAAAAUACAAGCUCGGCCGUAAGAUCGGUAGCGGAUCAUUCGGAGAAAUCCACCUCGCUACGCAUGUGGACACGUUCGAGAUCGUUGCAGUAAAGAUCGAAAAUAAUAAGACGAAACAUCCACAACUUUUCUACGAGGCCAAGCUAUACAAUAUUCUGCAAGGAGGAAGUGGUAUACCAAACAUCAAAUGGUCUGGCAUAGACGGGGAAGAUAAUAUUCUUGUUAUGGAUUUGUUGGGACCAAGUCUUGAAGAUCUGUUUGUUUAUUGUGGAAGGAAGUUUUCAUUGAAGACAGUCUUGUUGUUAGCUGAUCAAAUGAUAACAAGAAUAGAGUACGUACACUCUAAAGGGUUUUUGCAUAGGGACAUUAAACCUGAUAACUUUCUGAUGGGUCUCGGUCGAAAAGCAAAUCAGGUUUACAUUAUUGACUUUGGGCUUGCGAAAAGAUAUCGGGAUUCUACAACCAAUCGUCACAUUCCUUACAGGGAGAACAAAAAUUUGACGGGGACUGCACGUUAUGCAAGUUGCAAUACUCAUCUUGGAAUUGAGCAAAGCCGGCGGGAUGAUUUAGAGUCUCUUGGAUAUGUACUUCUAUAUUUCUUGAGAGGAAGUCUGCCAUGGCAAGGUUUAAAAGCUGCAACCAAGAAGCAAAAGUAUGACAAAAUAUGUGAGAAGAAAUUAUCAACUCCUAUUGAGGUUUUGUGCAAGUCUCACCCUGUGGAGUUUGCGUCAUACUUCCAUUACUGCCAUUCAUUGACGUUCGAUCAGCGACCUGAUUACGGAUUCUUGAAGCGCCUGUUCCGUGAUUUGUUCAGUCGUGAAGGGUAUGAAUUUGAUUACAUAUUUGAUUGGACGAUCCUAAAGUAUCAGCAAGCACAAAAGAAUAAAACUCAGCCACGAGUGUCUCCAGCUCCUGGAGAGGGUAAUAGUAGAGCGACAGCAAUGGAUGUGGACAAGCAUCAAGGCAAUCAUGCUUCCUACUCGGCUGAGACAACGGAACGCAUGAGACUGGGCAAUGCUGGUAGUCCUGGUAUUCGCAUGCAGUUUAAACCACAAGCGCCAGCUGGAAGGAAUUUGAGCUUGGAGAAUCCCCUACAGAAAAAUUUUGUGAGCAAUACAGACAUGCCAUCGGCUUCAUCUUCUCAUGCUAGCAUGUCAAAACUAAAGGCGUCGAAAGCUGUGUUGCCUGCUGAAAGCACAACCUUUAGUCAUGCAAAUGGUGACAAAGUUGGUCCUUCAAGUAGCUGGAUUUCAUCCCUUCACCGUGUUUCUUCGGCGAAGUGAUUUUAUAUGUUGCUGAUUUGGUCACGAUCUUUAUGACACAUCUGGUUAUGUUUUAUCUUGCUUUGGAUAUGGGUUUUGCAUCAUUUCUCUAUGGAAGCCAGCACUUUUCGCAAAUGUAUGAAGAUGAGCAAAAACAUGUGGACCAACACUAGAUACAGAUCACUUAUGGCGCAGUUGACAAGAAUUUGGUGAUGGACCUGUGGAGGACAAAGAAGCUCACAGCGUUCCUUCGCGGGUACCAAGCUACCUGCUUGAGUUGUAAUCCUUCCCAAGGAUCACUUCUUUGGUGGAAAAGCUGAUGCAUCCACCUGGUCACACUUCCUACUUGGAGGCGGCUGAAUAGAGAACAGGUGAAACUCAAGUCUUUUGUUAGGGUGCUUGUGGAACAGCUAGUCUUCACUUUAACAUUUGAUGAGAGCUUGUGACCUGGCAUGAUUGCAAGUGCUUUCUGCUUCCAGCCUUGUGGUGCAAGUUCAAAUCUAGGAGAUUGACGUUAACACGCAGGAGAAAGAACAAACAAAAGUUGGGGCAAGACUGAGUAUCUACUACCUUUCCUGGGUCCUACUAUGAGCAGGAGCAUUGUGCUUUGGAUUCAACCUUCUGGACACAAUAUGAGGGAGCUCGUAGUUUCAUUGUAGAGCCUUGUGCAUUAGACCAGAUCAGAUACAGGGGGCUGCUGGAUAAGCCAUGCCAGCCUGUUCUCUUGGCUCCAUUUGUUGAAUAGGCUGGUAUGGGAGGCAGGGUUGUGUUUGGAUAUUGGGUGUAUGGAUGAAUUUGAGGUAAAAGAACAAGGGAAUACCUUGACAAAUCCAGAAUCCAAUGCAACCUAAAUCGAUUCGGUGUUUAUGCAUGCUUUAGUUCUUCCUAAAUUUUGCUGAACGGUUUUUUAUUGUGUCGCGAUAUCUGCAGAUUAUACAGACAAAUUGAGAAGCAAGAUACAGGUAAAAUGGUCCAACUUGGGAUCCCUAAAUUCCAUCUUGGUCUCUGUGUUCUCUCUGUGGACAGGAUUCUGGAUUACUAAGUCUACUGGAGGUGUCGAAUUGGAAACCAGUCGCGGUAACAUCCUUUUCAGGAGUGACUAGUUUUUGGGUUGCUCGGUGGAAAAGGUUAGGAAGCUAAUAACCCUCCUUUGGUUGUCCCAGAUUGGCCCCUUGCUGGCUAUGAGCAGGACACGAGGAGUCUAGACAAAUCUACCAACUCGGGGUACGCAUGAGGGAUCUAUAUGUGCUCUCUCAAGAUUGGCUUGAGUCAUACCUAGACCCGUUUCAACCGAGGGCAUUUUAACAAGAAGCUAGUGGCCUAUGAUUAAUGGGGUAGAUUCUCCCCACUGCCGUCCAAGAGUUUCGAACACUAGUCCGCUUUGUCACCAAACCACAUGAGAUCCUGGUUGUUACCCUGUUGAGUAGGUUUGGUAGUCUGAUUACUUUGAUAGCCAUCGUUGAAGAAGCCUCCAUACAUUUUCCUUUAAGGUAGUCAACCCCAUUUCGAGUUUACUGAAGCAUCUGAAUGUCCCAACUUUCUCGAAGACAGGUCGAGAUUAGAAAAAGAAAAACAGAACUUGUGUUUCUGUUCGCACACCCAUUUUGGUUUCCCGGUACUUCUGUGCAUCCAAUUUGCUUGUUCGAUGGUUAUGCUUUCAAGUUCCAACUUUGUUGUGCUUCUGGUUGCAACGGUUUGAUCAGAGCGUUUUCAGCAAUAUUCAUAUUUUACAGGGGAAUUCCUAUGAGGGUACGUGGAUAUAUUUUGUUGAAAUAUGUACUGCAAAAAUAGUGUAAUUUCAUCAGAGGUAUAUUUUCUCAAGCCUCCAGGAUUGGUCAGUGUAAUUUAUCGAAAAAGAUAAAGGAAACACUGAAAUCUGUUCUUACUAAAAGCUUGUUUUGGUAUUAA